rnacentral:rRNA from 1 species
UUGCUCUCUGAUUAGCGGCGGACGGGUGAGUAAUGCCUAGGAAUCUGCCUGGUAGUGGGGGACAACGUUUCGAAAGGAACGCUAAUACCGCAUACGUCCUACGGGAGAAAGCAGGGGACCUUCGGGCCUUGCGCUAUCAGAUGAGCCUAGGUCGGAUUAGCUAGUUGGUGAGGUAAUGGCUCACCAAGGCGACGAUCCGUAACUGGUCUGAGAGGAUGAUCAGUCACACUGGAACUGAGACACGGUCCAGACUCCUACGGGAGGCAGCAGUGGGGAAUAUUGGACAAUGGGCGAAAGCCUGAUCCAGCCAUGCCGCGUGUGUGAAGAAGGUCUUCGGAUUGUAAAGCACUUUAAGUUGGGAGGAAGGGCAGUAAGUUAAUACCUUGCUGUUUUGACGUUACCGACAGAAUAAGCACCGGCUAACUCUGUGCCAGCAGCCGCGGUAAUACAGAGGGUGCAAGCGUUAAUCGGAAUUACUGGGCGUAAAGCGCGCGUAGGUGGUUCGUUAAGUUGGAUGUGAAAUCCCCGGGCUCAACCUGGGAACUGCAUCCAAAACUGGCGAGCUAGAGUAUGGUAGAGGGUGGUGGAAUUUCCUGUGUAGCGGUGAA